AUGGUGGCAUUAAUAAAAAGAAACCUCAAGAAGGGAAACUCAAGAAGGGAAACUCAAGAACAGAGUGGUUCCAGAUUUUUAUUUGAUGAAAGUGUGCUUCUGGAGACACUGACUCUUCUCAGCUCCAUUUUUAGAGCAAGAAUCAUGAGCUUGCCUUGGUAGAAGAUGUGACUCAUUAGAAGUUGUGAUACAUCCUGCCAAUAAAAUCUAGCAGAUUGCACAUUAGAAGCAGGUAAUUAAGUUAAUAUAUAAGACACAUAAACUCACAAGUCCUAUUUUAAGCUUCUAAUCAGUCAGACACCACAGGAAAGACAAAUAUUUGAAGCUAAAUGAUAUUUUCAGCAUAUACACAUGCCAUUUUUAAAAGGCAAAAUUAAUUCAUUAUUUUAGCACAUAAACACCUUAAAUGUUAAAGCACAAAGGAAAUUUUUCUCUUAACUUGUAAAAGAAGGGUCAUGAAUGUUGGGGGUCAUGCCUUCUGUUGGCUACCUCAAUUUGUAUCUUCUAAUAUCCUGAUUUAUGUUGUUGGUUCUGAGAGUUACUCCGUAUCCAUCAAAAUUUUCAUUUUGGACCUAAUUUAAGAGUGUUUGUUGUUGCUUAAGACCAAACUUCUUAACCAAUACACAUUUAUAAGAUGAGGAGACCAAAAACAUGUGGCCAUCAUAUGAAAGAUAAUGGUAAAAUACACUUUAUCAAAAUAAAGUGUAACACAUAUCAAGAAUAGAAGAUUAGUAUAAAUAAAGGGAGAAAGAUGGAAAAGUAGCCUUAUAAAAUAUAUACUUGCAUGUAAUAAACUAAGCAAGAUUGUUAACUAUUUAAUGAUCAAUCCAGAAAGAUUUUCCAGCAUAAGUGAAAUAUUGUUAGAUACCAUUUAAGAGAUGGGGCUUGGGAGGGGAGUCAGAUAUUUUGGUAGUCAUUGAAGGAAAAUAAUUUCAGUCUGUGGCAUUGCUUUGAGAGGGGAAAAAACUCAAAGAUGGGAGUAAAGAAAACUGACGUAAGGCUUCCAGGAAAUAAGUUGAGAAAAUUGUAUUUUAAAAUAGAAAAUUAGGAGGAGAAACACAUCUACCUUAGUGGGAGAGUUUUGAUGUAUGGCAUAAGGACCUGAGACUUGAUCUAUAGUGGAAUGGGAAGACAGAGAUAAACUUCCAGGGGCUCAGAGUGGGUGUGAUAUGUUCAAAGUAUCCUAACUAGAACACCUUUGAUGGUAGAAAUAAGGGUAGAUUGUCGGGGCAGAGCCUCAGUGGAUGAGAAUAAGAGUAUUGAAAGAAUAUCCUGUGAAGUGACAGUUCCAAAAGUAUUUCUAGAAGAAAUGACAUCCAGGACAGUACUGCAGGUAACAUAGGAAGGGUGUCUCAGGGGAACUAUAUGAAGAAGCAGCAGGAUCUUUCAACCCAAUGUAUAUGACAGUCAAAAGAGAGAUGCACUGAAAACCACUUUAUGUCCUCACUUGAGCUGUCAGCAAAAUAACACAUUUUCAUCCAGUUAGAUGGAUAUUAUACAAGUAGGAAAAAGUUAAAAAAAAAGUAUGUGUAUAUACACAUACAAUAUAUAUAUGUGUGAGUAUAAUUAUGUAUAUAUAUGUGUAUCUUCAUUAUGUGUAGCUGAAGUUGACAAUAGGUCACUCAAUCAAAUUUGAAUACACACAGAUGCUAUAGAAAACUAAAUACAAAACAUGAGUGUGAAGUGGAAGGAGUGGACCCCAUCCUCUGUCCACUGCAUUAGACAGUCUUUCUUCUCAUAUGGAAAUAAGGAGAAAAUAAUAAUCACAAAGUUGAAAUCAGAAGAGUAAACCUCAUUAGGCUGGUUAUUAGAAGGAUAAAGACAUUAUUAUUAUUAUUACUACUAAAACCUAUCAGUUCAAUUUGAAAGCUGAAGAAAGAAAGCAUUUACUUCCUUUUGUUUUUAGUGAUAUAACUCUGUUGUCGCAGUAUUUUAUUUUUAAGCAUUAAACUUAAUAUAUGAAAUCCCUGACAAAAGUUCACUGUGUCUCCCGAUUAUUUUAUCUUGCUAUUUUAUACAUGAAUACAGUCUUGGAUAAUACUCUCUGAAGCAUCUACUGUUCUCAGUGAUCAAAAAUUUAACAAAGCUUUAACCAAAUAGGGGGAAAAUUGCAUUAUAGUAAGAAGCCUUUACUCUUAGUUAAAAUGUAUAAGGAGAUAACAAUGUGAAGGUACCAUCUUCAAAGUUUAAAAUGAAUCUUUAAAAGAAAAUGUGCAGCUUUUCAUCUGCAUUUUUGUGUAUAACUGAAUAGGAAAAUCCAUAUUUGAGAGUGUAUAGAUUAAAAUAUCUAGGAAAAUGUCAGCAUAGUAUAAAAGAACCUAAAAGGGAGAUAUUGUAUAUUGCUAUGUCAGUGAGCAUUUAUUCCAAAAUAUUGCAAUAAGCUGUGACCUGAAGAGUGUUUAGGACCUGGCUGAGUAAACAGUGGCCAAAAGAACAUUUGCGAUAGAGAAGCAUAUGUGUAAAAACUUCAAAGAAAAAAAUAACUGGAAGCCAAAUGAAAAUUUAGAGGGGGUUAGGAUAUAACAAGAGGAAAAAGUGGCUUGAGGUGAGUAGUUAUGAGUAAGACCUUUAACACCAUCUUAAGGAUUUGAAGCAUAUGCUAACUAUAAAAAGUUAUUAAAAAGUAUAAAGCAGAGGUUUUUUUAUGAAAAAUGAUAAGAGAGUAAAAAGAAAAUCAGGGACACCAAGAAACAUACUGCUGCGAUCGAAGAGAUAUAAUUGCAGCUUGAAUUGAGAAGGAGAAGUGAAGUAAAAGUAAAUGGAUUAUAAAGUAAAAGGAUUUAAUGGGAGAUUUCAAGUCAGAGUUCAGGAGAAGGACAAAUAAUGAAGGAGGAUACCAAUAUUUCUGGAGCAAGCAACAAAAUGGGGCAGGGGUGAUGGCAGUAAGUGGAUAUCAGAAAAUUUAAGAUGUCUGUAAACAUAUACGAGUGCUGGAUAUAUGGGGCAGAAAAUUGUGUGUGUGUGUGUGUGUGUGUGUCUGUACUAAAGAAAUACAUUUGGGAUCAAGCAUAUGAAAGGCUUUGGAAGCUUAUCAUAAUGGAUAAAAGUGAGGAGUAAAAGCAAAGAUAAGGAUGCCUAGAACUGAGCCCCAGCAGCAUAGAAGAGAGAUUAAGAAAGGUCAGACUUAUAAGAGGAAAACCAGGAAAAUGUGCUAUCAAACUUCUUUUCACAAACAAAUAGAAUGUUUCUAGAAUAGAUUCUUAGGCCACAAGGAAAAUCUCAAUAAAUAAUAAAAUUUAGAGUAUGUUUUUAAGAAACUGAUAUAUAAAUGUAAAUAUCAAAACCUCAAAAACAUGAUCCAUAAAAAAAAGUUGGGCUUUUAUUUAAAUUUAAAACUUCUGUUCAAUGGAAGACAGAAGUUCAGAGAAAGAAAUAAAACACAGCUUGAUUGGGGGUAGAUAUUUGCAAAACACAUAGGCAUGUGUUAGUAAG
ensembl:lncRNA